rnacentral:misc_RNA from 1 species
GCAAACUUGGUCAUUUAGAGGAAGUAAAAGUCGUAACAAGGUUUCCGUAGGUGAACCUGCGGAAGGAUCAUUACAAAUCAGUGGAGUGGGGGUGGUGGUGGCUGGAUAUUGAUUCCGGUAUCGGUCUCGGUGCCCAGUCACCCCCCUCGGCUCAACAUUUGCGCUUGUUGUGUUUGACAGAGUAACAUACCCCUAAUAUGACAACUUUUAACAACGGAUCUCUGGGCUCUUGCAUCGAUGAAGAACGCAGC